rnacentral:rRNA from 1 species
GAUGAACGCUGGCGGCGUGCCUAAUACAUGCAAGUCGAGCGAACGGACGAGAAGCUUGCUUCUCUGAUUUUAGCGGCGGACGGGUGAGUAACACGUGGAUAACCUACCUAUAAGACUGGGAUAACUUCGUGAAACCGGAGCUAAUACCGGCUAAUAUUUUGAACCGCAUGGUUCAAAAGUGUAAGACGGUCUUGCUGUCACUUAUAGAUGGAUCCGCGCUGCAUUAGCUAGUUGGUAAGGUAACGGCUUACCAAGGCAACGAUGCAUAGCCGACCUGAGAGGGUGAUCGGCCACACUGGAACUGAGACACGGUCCAGACUCCUACGGGAGGCAGCAGUAGGGAAUCUUGCGCAAUGGGCGAAAGCCUGACGGAGCAACGCCGCGUGAGUGAUGAAGGUCUUCGGAUCGUAAAACACUGUUAUUAGGGAAGAACAGAUGUGAAAGUAAAUGUGCACAUAUUGACGGUACCUAAUCAGAAAGCCACGGCUAACUACGUG